AUUCACUUCGUGUGGCUUGUUCUCUCUUUCAUUCACGCGGCAUGGAGCGGAUGCAGUUGUUUGGUGCUGUGACUCUGUCCUUUCCGGCGGCUUCGAGGCCUUCUCGCAGGCCUGGCUUCGGAUAGACUCAUUUUGAUGUAAUAUGGCUGGAUUCUGAGAUGCUGUUGGCAUUGCUGCCACACAAAGGCCUGUUAUGAGGCUCCUGUUGGCCAUCACAAAGCAUGCCUGUGACGAUUCAGUCCCAAAGAACAAAAAAAGGGCUGAAGUGAGGAUUUUGUUCAUCUUUCCCAGAGUGCUGUCCCUAAAGUGAUCAAUAAGGAAUACCUGGAAUCUCUGCUGGAGCUGGUGGCUUAAUGUUGCAAAAUCUUACAAGUAAUUUGGAAACAUUUUGAAAAUGUUAAUGUAAAACUUUUUAAAUAAAAGACAGAUGAAGGUG